rnacentral:rRNA from 1 species
UACGUAGGCAGCAAGCGUUGUUCGGAGUUACUGGGCGUAAAGGGUGUGUAGGCGGUCUUCUAAGUUUGGUGUGAAAUCUCCCGGCUUAACCGGGAGGGUGCGCCGAAUACUGAAAGACUAGAGUGCGGGAGAGGAUAGUGGAAUUCCUGGUGUAGCGGUGAAAUGCGUAGAUAUCAGGAGGAACACCGGUGGUGUAGACGGCUAUCUGGACCGUAACUGACGCUGAGACACGAAAGCGUGGGUAGCAAACAGG